AUGGACUGCAAGACAUCCUCUUCUCCUCUGAUAUUCAACAGGUGAAGAGACAAAUUGAUCAAUUUGCCUCAGGAUAAGCAUUAGCAGCAAAACAAUCCUUUAUCCUAACCUUAUCAAAAUCACUGAAUUCUGGAUCAGGACAGAGUAUAAUAUUGGGAUUGGAUGUCUCCUUCCUUUUUGGAUUCAAUCGCUCAACUUUCACCUUUUUCCUUAGAUCUGUUUUUUAGGUUGGCCAUUUGUUUUUUUUUUUGUAGGCUGUUGUUGCGGUUUGGUGGUAGGCUCAUGUUGAUGCAGGAUUCUAGUGACAGGAUAUGGAAUGGAUUCAUGCAUUUCCAUGGCUUGGUGUAUUGUUUUGGUUCUGUCACAUGGCUAAUGAUUGGUCAUUGCAGGAUUUGCUGCAGGGCCAAUUGUAGGUUUGUUAUGGCCUUUUGUUGGUUAAAUCAUGGAGAUUUGGCUUUGUAAUGUGGUGUAUUGUGAGCAAGGAAUGAGCACACUCAUGUGGUGCUGCUGCAGUUGGUUUUAUGCUCAUGUGGUAAUGUUGGUUUGUUGCAAGUUGUGUGCCUUGAUGUACUGCCUGCUGCAGAGUUUAUUUGGUUUAUGGCAUGAGGUUCAGUAGGUUCACUCAUGGACAUGAAUGGAAACUUGCAUUUGAAGUAAGCAAGGGAGCACACAUGGACUUUGGUGGUAAAUCAAGACAAGAUAGCGUGAGAUUAGGUCCAAGUUUGGGAAAUAGGGUUUUAGAAUUUUAGGGUUGACUUUGGUCAAAGUUGACCAAAAAGUCAACGGUUGACCAAAGUUAAAAAUUGGUCCAAAACCCAUUUUCUUGGCAUUUUCUUUGUAAAUGGACAACGGAUUGAUGAUUAGGAUGAAAUUUAGUGUUUUUGGAGUUUGGGUUGACUUUGGUCAAAGUUGACAAAAAAGUCAAUUGUUGACCAAAGUUAACAAUUGGUCAAAAAAUGUCAAAUUUUGUAUUUUCUUGUGUUGAAUCACAUGUAAUGGUUUACAAUGACAUGAAAUAGAUUGAAAUGGAUUAACAAAUGGUUUGAAGUUGGUUUCCAAA